CAGAAGCAAGGAAGUAACUGUUGACAAAGUGAGACGGAAUAGAAGAAAAAGAUGGAAAGAGUCAGAAAGAACAGAAACAUUGAUAUUCAACCAUUUGAAACAAGAAAGAAACUCUAAGCACAGAAGGCAAAGAGAAGUUUGACAUAACCCAAGACAACAUGUUCGUUAAAUUUCAUAGAUGCAAAAGAGAGAAUGCUUCUGUUGCAAAACAUAGAAGUCUUCUGCAAGCAGCUGCCACGCCCAUAUCUCAGAGCCCUAGUGAGUUGUAGAGAAGUUUCAAGAGUUAGAGUAUUUCCUCUGUACAGUAACUAAAAUAAUAAAAGACCACAAUUUUUAUUCAUAAAAA
ensembl:lncRNA novel transcript